GCUUUCCGAAUGAGUCUUAUUUCUUCAAUUUGAAUCUUUUCUUCAAAACUUCUGCGAUCAACUCUUCAAGACUCCAACUAACUUUACGAAAUUCGCCAACCUAUAAAAUCCUUAACAAUCUCCCCCUUUGGCGAUUUCGUGACAAAAUAAACUAUAAACUCGUACACAACACAGAAACAAUAAAAAGAAGAUCAUCGCAAUCACCAAACGAUAAUCUCCUGCAUGAUCGAUCCAAUAAACGAAAAAUACAAUUUUCAUAAUCUUAAUACAAACUCUAUGACUUAGACACGGAGUCUUGAAGUCUUGAAUUAUUCCUGCAAAAACAUUCUCAAAACAUAAUCAAGAUUUGUA
rnacentral:lncRNA from 1 species